rfam:Cryptosporangium arvum DSM 44712 genomic scaffold CryarDRAFT_CAH.1, whole genome shotgun sequence.
GCCGGUCCUCGGUAGUACCCACUUGUGGAGCUCCUACAAGUCGGUUCGAUCGAAGACCGGC